rnacentral:rRNA from 1 species
AGUGAACGCUGGCGGUAGGCCUAACACAUGCAAGUCGAACGGCAGCACCGUACGAGCUUGCUCUUACGUUUGGCGAGUGGCGGACGGGUGAGGAAUACAUCGGAAUCUACUUUUUCGUGGGGGUUAACGUAGGGAUACUUACGCUAAUACCGCAUACGUCCUACGGGUGAAUGCAGUGGAUCUUUCGACCUUUCGCGAUUGCUUUUGCCGAUUUCGGAUUAGCUAGUUGGCGGGGUAACGGCCCACCAAUGCGACGAUCCGUAGCUGGUCUGAGAGGAAGAUCAGCCACAGGGGAAGUGAGACACGGACCAGACACCGACGGGAGGCAGCAGAGGGGAAUAUGGGACAAUGGGCGGAAGCCUGAUACAGCGAUACCGGGUGGGUGAAGAAGGCCUUCGGGUGGGAAAGCCGUGUUGUGGGGAAAGAAAAGCAGCAGGAGAAAACACCGCUGUUGUGACGGUACCCAAAGAAGAAGCACCGGCUAACUACGUG